CCCUGGUUAGCUCAGUUGGUAGAGUGCUGCACCUGAAAUGGAGAGGUCCCGGGUUUGAUACCCGGACCAGGCG